rnacentral:rRNA from 1 species
GUGGGGAAUAUUGGACAAUGGGCGCAAGCCUGAUCCAGCCAUGCCGCGUGAGUGAUGAAGGCCUUAGGGUUGUAAAGCUCUUUCACCGAUGAAGAUAAUGACGGUAGUCGGAGAAGAAGCCCCGGCUAACUUCGUGCCAGCAGCCGCGGUAAUACGAAGGGGGCUAGCGUUGUUCGGAUUUACUGGGCGUAAAGCGCACGUAGGCGGUUUGUUAAGUCAGGGGUGAAAUCCCGGAGCUCAACUCCGGAACUGCCUUUGAUACUGGCAAGCUAGAGGCCGGAAGAGGUAAGUGGAACUCCUAGUGUAGAGGUGGAAUUCGUAGAUAUUAGGAAGAACACCAGUGGCGAAGGCGGCUUACUGGUCCGGAACUGACGCUGGGGUGCGAAAGCGUGGGGAGCAAACAGGAUUAGAUACCCUAGUAGUCC